rnacentral:rRNA from 1 species
AUUGAACGCUGGCGGAAUGCUUUACACAUGCAAGUCGAACGGCAGCACGGACUUCGGUCUGGUGGCGAGUGGCGAACGGGUGAGUAAUGUAUCGGAACGUGCCCAGUCGUGGGGGAUAACGUAGUGAAAAUUACGCUAAUACCGCAUACGAUCUAUGGAUGAAAGCGGGGGAUCGCAAGACCUCGCGCGAUUGGAGCGGCCGAUAUCAGAUUAGGUAGUUGGUGGGGUAAAGGCCCACCAAGCCAACGAUCUGUAGCUGGUCUGAGAGGACGACCAGCCACACUGGAACUGAGACACGGUCCAGACUCCUACGGGAGGCAGCAGUGGGGAAUUUUGGACGAUGGGCGAAAGCCUGAUCCAGCCAUUCCGCGUGCAGGAUGAAGGCCCUCGGGUUGUAAACUGCUUUUGUACAGAACGAAAAGGUUUCUACUAAUACUAGGAGCUCAUGACAGUACUGUAAGAAUAAGCACCGGCUAACUACGUGCCAGCAGCCGCGGUAA